rnacentral:rRNA from 1 species
UACGUAGGGUGCGAGCGUUGUCCGGAAUUAUUGGGCGUAAAGAGCUCGUAGGCGGUGUGUCGCGUCGGCCGUGAAAACCUGCAGCUUAACUGUGGGCGUGCGGUCGAUACGGGCAUCACUGGAGUUCGGCAGGGGAGACUGGAAUUCCUGGUGUAGCGGUGAAAUGCGCAGAUAUCAGGAGGAACACCGGUGGCGAAGGCGGGACUCUGGGCCGAUACUGACGCUGAGGAGCGAAAGCGUGGGGAGCAAACAGG